UUUUAUUGAUUUAAUGUGACGGCGUCUUCUAUUAAGAUCAUUCUUCUUACUUUCGACAUUAAGGUUUAGAGUAAGUAUGGAGACAGAAUUUGCGGGAUUAACAUUGGAGGAGGAGGAAGACGAAAUUUUUCAAAUUCAAUCUGAGGAGGAAACGAAUGGAGUAACGGAAGUCUUGCAAUUGGUGGGUUGUUUCUUAACGGAAAGUACUGUCCAUUUUCCAGCAAUGAGAAGUACUAUGGCAAAUUUGUGGCACCCCGUACGGGGAGUUCAAAUUAGAGAUUUGGGGGAAAAAAGGUACUUAUUUAAAUUUUUUCAUAUAAUGGAUCUUCCAUAAAUUGCAAAUGGGGGAGGACCCUUUGAAGGUCCCGCUUAUCUACUCACCUCUGUGGACCCACAUACAUGAUGUCCCAAUUGGUUUCGUAUCAGAAAAUCCAGCAAUUCAAAUGGGAAAUUUUAUUGGAGAGUUCCUGGAAUAUGAUGGUUCAUACCUGGGAAAAGAAAGUAGAAAUUUUAUGAGAAUACGCGUCAAAAUUGAUAUAUGGUACCCUUUAAAAAGGAAAAAACAGAUAAGGUGUUAUGGAAAGUGCUCAUAUGCUCAUUUUAAAUAUCAACGACUUUCACUUUUUUGCUUUUUUUGUGGUCGACUGGGCCAUAGCGAUUCCUUUUGUGAAACAAAGAUGGUGUUAGGAGCAGAAACCAAAGAGAUGGGAUGGGAUUUAUCAAUUAGGACACAGUCUCAUCGAGCUCAAAUGAUGACCAGUGUAUGGUUGCGAGAAGAAUGUGGGGACAAGGGAGAGGAAAUAAUAGGGAAAGUCAAACUAAGGAGGUUAACGUCAAGGAUCCAAUGGAUAAUAGGGGGAUUUGUGAAUUUCUUGAUCCAGUAUUGGGAAUUAAUUUGGUAGGAAGGGAAUAUCAUACAGGAAGUAAAUACAAGAAUGAAAGUGGUAAUUUGGAGAACAGCUCAAUGGAACAUGAUCUUGAAGAUGAUGUGAUCGUUAGAGAAGAGGGUAAAAAGAGAAACAGAAGGGACAUGGAAGAUGUCUUGGCCAAAGAGAAGACUAACGUUUUGGCGGAAAGGAGUAAGAGAACAGUGGAGGUUAAUCAUAAAUUAUCCGCGGCUGUCAAGUGGGCAGCUGACCGAUCACAAUGAAAAUUUUAAGUUGGAAUAUCCGUGGAUUGGGGAGUCCACGGACAAUUCAAAGGCUUCGUCAGUAUAUGCUGAAGCUAUACAAUCCCCAGAUAGUCUUCUUCAUGGAGACGAAAAUUAAUUGCAGUCAGAUGGAAAAAGUUAGAAGAAGCUGUGGGUUUUUAAACGAUAUUGAUGUUAGUUCAGAGGGAUCUAGAGGUGGGCUAUGUUUGGCUUGGCGAGCUGGGAUAAAUGUCCAGCUCCAAAGCUUUUCAAAAUGACAUAUUGAUGUGAUCAUUAAUGAUACAACAGAAGGGUACAAAUGUAGAUUUACAGGGUUUUAUGGGUCUCCAUAUCCACAAGAAAGAGUUGAGGCAUGGAAUCCUUUACGUCACUUAGGCAUGGUUAGGAAGCUACCAUGGAUGGUUUGUGGAGACUUCAAUGAAAUUCUGUAUAGUUUUGAGAAAAAAGGUGGUUUAUCGCGUGAGGAAGGACGAAUGGAAGCUUUUCGUAAGGUAUUGGAGGAGUGCAGCUUGUCUGAUAUGGGGUUUAAUGGAAACUGGUUUACGUGGGAAAGGGGGAAUUUGCCUGAAACUAAUAUUCAAAAGGGGUUGGAUAGGGGAGUGGCGAAUGAAGAAUGGUUACAAAUAUUCCUUGAAUUUCAGAUUCAGCAUCUCCCACAUACAUUUUCUAAUCAUUGCCCAUUAUUGGUUCAUACAAAAAAGGAAUGCAGAGAAAGGGUCCAUAAAGAAUUCAAGUUUAAAGCAUGGUGGGACUUGGAGGAUUCAUUCUUAGAAUAAGUUAAAAACAUCUGGGACAAUUCUGAGGGUGAGUUUUUAAGUAAGCUAAACAGUAUGAAAAGGGGGUUGGAGGGAUGGGCUAAAAAAAUACAUUACUCUAGGGAAGGAAGGAAAAAGUUGCUAUCCACAAAACUGGCCACAUUAUUAGAGGCGGAAAAAGAUAAAGAAAUUCUGGCAGAUCUGAUUGAUAUGAAAAUUCAACUGAACUUGGAGAUUGAAAAGGAUGAACGGUAUUGGGAACAAAGAGCGAGGGUUAACUGGUUAAAGCUUGGGGAGAAGAAUACAGCCUUCUUCCACAAACAAGCAACGCAGAAAAGAUAGAGGAACCUGACUCAAAAAAUGCAGAAUGAUCAUAGAAGGGAAAUAGAGGACUCAAAUGAAAUGAAGGCGAUAACCAGAAUUUAUUUUCAAAAGGUUUUUUCUGCGGGUAGAAGAGCAAAUUAUGAGCAUGUUUUGUCUGGAGUUACCCAAUGUAUAUCGGAGGAAGACAAUUUUAUGCUAAAAGAGAGAUACACAAAGGAGGAGAUUCAGCAGGCAUUAUCGUAAUUAGGGCCCACCAAAGAACCAGGGGAAGAUGGACUUCCAACAUUAUUCUACCAGAAAUGCUGGACGAUUAUUGGGGAUGAAGUGACUAACUUCUGUCUCGAUCAUCUAAAUGGAGGGAUGGAGAUUGGCCCAAUCAACAAAACAAAUAUCGUUUUAAUUCUAAAAAUUUCAAAUCCAGUGGAUAUUUCACACUUUAGGCCCAUUAGUUUGUGUAAUGUUAUAUAUAAAUUAAUGGCCAAAGUUAUUGCGAAUCGUCUUCGAAAAGUUUUAGAAAAAUGCAUUAAUCCUGCCCAAAGUGCUUUUGUGCCUGGGAGAUUAAUUUCGGAUAAUGUAUUGUUGGCAUAUGAGCUAUUCCAUACACAAACAGAAGAGGGUAGGGAAGAAAGGAUUUAUGGCGGUCAAGCUGGAUAUGAGCAAGGCGUAUGAUAGGGUAGAAUGAAACUUUGUGGAGGAGAUGUUGAAGAAAAUGGGCUUUGACUCAGAGUGGGUAGCUUUACUUUUAAGGUGUGUAAAUUCGGUUUCUUAUUCGGUGGUUCUUAAUGGUAAAAAUGGAGAAAUUUUCACCCCCUCUAGAGGAUUGCGACAAGGUGACCCAUUGAGUCCGUUUUUAUUCCUAUUUUGUGGAGAAGGCCUUUCUAGCCUCAUGAGGCUAGGAAUAUAGGAGAACAAAGUCAGAGGGGUCAAAGCAAGCAGAAGUGGACCACAGGUUUCACAUCUACUAUUUGCAGAUGAUUGUAUGCUGUUUGGGGAAGCAACAGAAAGGAGUUUAAGUUACUUGAAACAGAUUCUGCAUCAAUACGAAGCUUGUUCGGGUCAGAAGGUAAAUUAUUCGAAGUCUAUAAUUUUUUUCAGCAGCAACACACAGGAGGAAGAAAUACGAACAAUUAAUCGAGUUCUUAGGGUGCGAGGAUCAGAUGACAUGGAAAGAUAUCUAGGGCUCCCUAACUUGGUGGGAAGAAGGAAAAAAGCUGCGUUUCAGAUUUUAAAAGAUAGAUUCAGGCAACGAAUUGAUAAUUGGAGCAUCAAAUACCUCUCACAAGGAGGUAAGGAGAUUUUCAUCAAAGCUGUUUUACAAUCCAUUCCAACAUACGCAAUGUCUUGUUUUUUACUCCCUAUAUCUCUUUGUAAGGAAUUAGAAAGCAUUAUUGCAAAAUUUUGGUGGCAAAAAAAUAAGGGGAAAAAGGGGAUGCAUUGGUGUGCAUGGAAGGACAUUUGCUUAGUAAAAGAAUUAGGUGGUCUAGGUUUUAGAUGCUUAGAUAAGUUUAAUAUAGCAUUAUUAGCUAAACAAGGUUGGCGUCUUAUUAAUUAUCCGAGUUCUUUGUUAGCCCGAGUUUUAAAAGCUAAAUACUUACAUAGAAAGAACUUCUUGAAUGCAUCUUUAAGUAACUUACCUUCACUUACCUGGAGAAGCAUUUGGUCAACAAAAAAACUCCUGAUGGACGGAUUAUGCUAGAGGGUAGGUGUAGGGGACCAUAUCUCCGUAUGGAAUGAUUGCUGGGUUUCGGGAGCAACUGAAGAUAGAUUACAGAAUAACAGCAGAAGUGAAAGUAUCAGAGUAGUGGCCGACUUAAUUAAUGCAGAGAGUAGAACAUGGAAAAGAGACUUGAUUGUCAAUACCUUUAAUACGGAUAUCGCAAGGAAGAUUCUACGGAUUCCACUUUCAAAGACUGCCCAAGAAGACAUCCAAGUAUGGAGAGGGGAGGCUACUGGAGUCUUUUCAGUUAGAAGCGCUUAUAAACUAUUACAGGAGUCAACAUUAGAGCCUAAUGCUUAUUUACAGACUGAUACAAAAAAAUUUUACAAGAAAUUAUGGAAACUACAGUUGCCCUUAAAAAUUAAAAUUACAGUAUGGAGAAUAACGUGGAAUUACAUAUCCACUUUCUCUAAUCUAAAAUCGAGAAGAGGUUCGUUGUUUGAGAUGUAGCCAGGACGAAGAAGAUAGCAUCCACGUCUUCCAAAUGUGUCCUAUAGCAAAAGAAAUAUGGAGUCAUUUGAACUUUUCUUGGGUACUUAAUGACAAUCAUGGUGAUAUAUGGAGUUGGCUUAUCUGGGUAUUCAGCAAAGGGACAAAUGAACAGUGCAUGGGAUUUUGCUGCGGGCUAUGGGGAAUCUGGACAAGCAGAAAUAAGUUUAUAUAUGAAAGAAAAUAUAGUACCAGUUGGGAUAUAUCGAAGCAAAUUCAAAGUUAUAUUUUAGAACUAGAAGGUGUUAAAGAAAGGGUACUCACUUUGGCAACCAGUACAAGGCCUAGACAGAGGAUACGAAGGGCGAAUAAGGCCAUCUUUUUCGAUGCGGCGUUUGAUUCACAAAACCACAGAUCUGCGUCAGGUCUUAUUGUUAAAAAUGAGGCGGGCAGAAUCGUUGGAGCAAAAUCGAUCCUUCAUGACAAUGUUGCAUCUCCGUUUGCGGCGGAAGCAUAUGCAAGAUUUCAAGCAACAAGGUUAGGGAUCCAGUUGGAAUAUUAUACUUUGGAUAUAAUAGGAGAUUCAAAAACAGUGAUAAAAAAAUGUCAAAGUGGAAACCGAGACAGAUCAGAAAUAGGAGGAAUUAUCAGCGAUAUUCAAAGCUUCAAAGAUUUAUUCCACAAAGUCAGAUUUUACUUCAACUCAAGGUCUGAAAAUAUUGAAGCACACAGACUAGCAAAAAGAACACUUCAAACGGGAGUGGAACAGUACCUGGAGGGAGAGACCUUAAGAUCGAUUGGUGAAGACUCGGAGCCAAGCUGCUUGGGUAAUCUAGAGUAGAAAGGAAAGGGGAUAAGAUUUUGGCUUUUGGCAUCAAUAAAUGACGAUUGAAAUGAAAAGGAGGAUGUUGUUUGUAAAAGUAAUCUGAUAAGUAAAAGAUUUGAAAGGAUUUGCUUUUACUUUUCAGUUGUCUUGGGCAGAGGAAAAGGCAGAUGGAUUUAUGAAGACAACUGACCGAUCGACUGGAAUUUUGAAUUUGUUUAUUUUAUUAUUUUACUUAAGGUGGGCUAAAUUGAUGUAAGCCUGCUUUUGCUGGUUUUGUUUCUUAGGUUUUGUUUAUUGGGUUCGACCCAAGAGACGUUUUCGUUUUAAUUUUAGGGUGUUAAUCCAGUCGAUUUUUCAAAAAAAAAUUUAUUGAAGCACGAUUUUUAUGUGUGAUAUGACUAGAUCAAAAGUAUAAUUUGAUUUUGGUUGACUAUGUGACCCA
rnacentral:lncRNA from 1 species